rnacentral:lncRNA from 1 species
GUCUUGAACUGAGGUUAAAAACAUGGACUCUUCCCAUGAUAUACUCCAAACAUUGUUAUUUGAUUUCCCCACAGAGGAUAAAAAGGACUGUAUGGAGGUUUCAUCUAUCAACCAUUGUCUCCAUAAGGGGAGCAAAUAGCACCUUUGGUUCACUAUCAGCACCUAACAUAAUGCCUGUCAUAUUGUGAGUGAUAAAAUUAUAUUUGCCAAGAGGCAAGUAUGUAAUACACUGACUUCUUCAAGGAUCAUGAGGCCCUGGUGAAAAAAUGACCAAAGAGGACUUUUUCCUUUACAUAGUUGUCCAAUAUAUGCCUAUGGAACAGCAUGACAGAAUGCCAGUCUAACUGUACAGCUUAUAGGUGAUAAGUAUAGUUAUAGAUGUGUUUUAUAUAUCGUUAUAUGUAGAUACAUGUGGACUUAUGUAUGUGCACAUAAAUACACAAAUACAUAGACAUGUAAGUAAUGAGUAUUGAAUAUUAAUACAUUCUCAGAUAUCAAGCUAACAUAAUAAAAUACAUACAUCUUUCUUCUCCAACAAAAGCUUAAAACAUAUCGGUGGGUGUAUGAAUGUG